CCAUUUUUCCCUGCACAGACCCCUCUGAUCCCAUUUCUGAUCCUGUUUUUCCCAAUUUUUCCCAUUUUUCCCUGCAGAGGCCCCUCUGAUCCCAUUUCUGAUCCCGUUUUUCCCAAUUUUUCCCAUUUUUCCCUGCACAGACCCCUCUGAUCCCAUUUCUGAUCCCGUUUUUCCCAAUUUUCAUCCCAUUUUUCCCUGCACAGACCCCUCUGAUCCCAUUUCUGAUCCCAUUUUCCCCAUUUUUCCCUGCACAGACCCCUCUGAUCCCAUUUCUGAUCCCGUUUUUCCCAAUUUUUCCCAUUUUUCCCUGCAGAGGCCCCCCUGAUCCCAAUUUUCCCGUUUUUAUCCCAUCCCCUUCUGGAUGAUCCAGGACCCCUUUCCCUGCUGGCUGCAGAGGGACUGCGAGGGGAAAUCCUUGGAUUCGGAUGGGAUCCCACCCUUGGGAAUAACUCCAGGGACAGCUGGGGGCAGUUCAUUCCCUGGAAAACACGGUGGGAUUGGAGCCAUUCCUUGGGAAGUUGGAGAAUUUCACUCCUGGAUCCCCUGGAUGAGGGAAAUCCCUGCAGGGUUUGUGCUGCAGCAUCCCAAAUCCCCGGAAAAACUGGGAAAAAAAGGGACAAUUCCCACCGAAACCAGGAUGGGGAUUCCUGCUUUGGUGUGAGGGGAAGAAAUUCCCGGGAGUUUUCCUGAGCUUUGCAUCCCUCAGAUCCUCUGGAAUGGGGAGGAGCGAGCCUGGAAUUCUGGCCCACCUCUGGCUUUGGGAAUGAAUCCACCCAAACACCGAAAUUCCAGAGGAUUUCCCGGAGCUUUUCCCCAGGAGAUCCCGCAGAUCUUUGUGGUGCCCAUCCCAAAUUUUCGGCUGGAUCUGGGGGAGUUGGGAGAAAAUCCCUGGAGCAGCAGGGAUUUUAACCCCAAAAUCGACAUUUUCCAACGCCAAGCCACAGGAGGGAUCCAAGCCCACGGAAUUUUUGGGAUUUCUGGAGAACUGGAUGAAUCCUUUGGCUUUUCCCACCCCUCCCAAACGUCUCCAGGGAGGAAAUCCUUGGAUUCCCAAAAAUCCCAAAACUCCCUCACUUUGAGACGGGCCCUGAGCUUUUGGUGGUGCCCAGAUCCUGGAUUUUCCCUGGAUUUUCCCUGGAUUUUCCCCGGAUUUUCCCUGGAUUUUCCCUGGAUUUUCCCUGGAUUUUCCCUGGAUUUUCCCUGGAUUCAGGCAUCGGGAAGGGCUGGGAAGAGGAGGAACUCCUCAGUGGUGGGAAUUUGGGCACCUGGAAUUCAUUCCUGGUAAAAAGCUCAGGGAGGGUUCGGGUUAAUUCCUGAUUAAAAUUCACUCUGGAAAAGUCUCA